AGCCUCUUUCUCAGGACCUCGGAUUCCACCUCCACAUCCUUAACCGCCUGCUGCUCGUAUACCAGUUGGAUCUUCAACUGCUGCAGCUCAGCCUUCCCCUCCCCAAGGGCCACGGAUAGCUCUUCUAUGGUUCCUCUCAGAGAUUGGAGCUCGUCGGGAUCCCGAACAGGAACAAACUGGGCUCCUUCAGAUAACUGCCUUUGGAGGCGGGCAACCUCGUCGGUCGCCAUCCUGAGCUUCCUCUUGUAGUCGUCCACCUGCUUGCACCAUCC
rnacentral:lncRNA from 1 species